ACCUGCAUACCCAAAAGAGGGCUCUGGUUAAAAAACAAUCAUUUUCUUUUUUGCUCUCCCUUAGCAGCGGGAAAGGAGUCUAUCUAUCUGCCUAGCUUUGGUAGAUUUCCCCCAACGCAAUCCACAGAAAUUCCACGAAUCCCUUGGUGGAUAAGUCCGACGACUCAGCAGCAGUGCGGAAUUGAGUUUCUUGUCUGGUGGAUCUGAUCUAUAGUUAGGGGGCAAUACAUACCAAAAGGUUCGAAGAAGGAAGGCUUCUUGGUGGAUAAGUCCGACGAUUCAGCAGCAGUGUGGAGUUGAAUUUCUUGUCUGGUGGAUCUGAUCUAUAGUUAAGGGGCAAUACAUACCAAAAGGUUCGAAGAAGGAAGGCGCAUAAGAGUAUAUAACUAACCUAUUCUUCUGUAUAACCUAUUCACAUUAGUGUAACCCAUAUAAGGGGAAUGUGAUUUUGUGGAGUUGAAAUUUGCAACCAUUAAGUCCAUAAAGGGAUUGC
rnacentral:lncRNA from 1 species